CUGCCAGGUUCAUGCGAACGGUCGCCGCCCAACUCCGCCAGGUCCGGAAGGAAGCAACGGCAAGUGGAUGUCCGUGGCGCCGUGAUCCCCUGG
rnacentral:SRP_RNA from 1 species